UGAGAACCAAGUGGUGGAUGAACACAGCUGCCAGACAGGGUUUCAAUGAGCCAUGAAGGGGCAAAUAAGCAGGAGAAGGUUGAGACAGGAAGAAAAGGGCAUAAAACAGUGGAAGUGUAUGUAAGAACUUCCAUUUCCAGAGGGAAACAGGAUUCACUACACUUGCCUUUGAUUACGCUUUGUCUACCGGGUGCUUGUUUCUCUCCUCUGCCAAUUCAAAUUAUGUGACAUCUACCAAGAAGAAAGUCAAGUCCUACUCUCUUCUCUCCAUUGCAGCUUCAGAGCAUAUGACAGCUCUGUUGAUGGCUGGAGGCAGACCUGCAAACAUUCUGGGGCUGACAAGCCAAAACAGUAUUGCAAAGACAAAGAGAAUCAACUUUUAAUUUAUGUAUCACUUUGGAUUUUUCCCACUGCCAAUCAGAUUUCUGGGCGAGAGCUCCUCAUGAAUUUUCUGACAGCUACAUGGAUCACAUGGGACAAUCAGACCAUCCCUGAAGUGUUGUGCUCCCUUCUGGAAAGCGUCCCUUAAAGAUGUGGACGAAAUGGAGUAUGCCCAGAAGAAGAAAUGGGAUGAUAAGAGAUUUGAGAAACCACAUCACAAGAUAAAAAAUUGAAGACCAGAGAAAUCAAGGAAAUAUAAUUACAUCAGGAGCACAACAAGAUGGUGGAAAAGAAGGCUACACCAUUCAUCCCUUCCCCCAGCCAGGAAUAUCAAAUUUUAACAUCUGCACACAGAAAAGCACCACAAGAAGAAGCAAAAAUGAGGUUAAAGAGGAAAGAAUGUGCUCCAGUUUCGAAAAUAAAUUACCCUAUCAUUUCCAGUACAAAACAGUUGUUAAAACUGCUGUUGCCAGGAUCUACACACUGCUGUCAAUGGGAGGAAGGAAGGAUGGCACACUGCUCAUGAGGAAAAAUUUUGAAAGUUAGCACCAAUCUUGAGUGACUGGUAAAGUGACUUGCUGAGAGCUGUCAUCUGGUGCCUCUGGUAGGUUUUCUUGUUUCCUGGGGCAGAGUAGCAGAGAGAAACUGACUGGGGAAGAGAGCUUUCUAUUUCAUUGUUGUUUCUAGUUAACUUGAAUUGUCUUGAUAUUCAGAAGAAGUGGAGACACUUGGUCUUUUGGUAUGCUUCCCAUUCAGUAGAUAGAAUGACGCAUUUAUAUGAGAAAACGUAGUAGAAUUUGAAGAAGAGAAUAGGCAGGAAGGCUCAGACACCCUGGUAGAAUUUCAGCCAGAAUCCUUCACUGCAAUCUGACCCUAUGUUCCUAGGGGAGGAAGGUCCUGGAAAAGAUAUUUACACUGGGAUGUCUGAUCACUUUAGGCAGAUCUAAGCGAUUUUGAGUCCUGCUUUCCCAUUUCUCCUUCCUUGUCAAUUGUCUUUGGUUCCCACAAAAGAAUGUUGCCCUGAUACUGACAAUAAGCAAAUGAUCCACUUCAAGCACAGACAAUGGAUGUGGAGCACGGAUUUGAGCAAGAUAUCCUGGAACCUAGAGCUGUACCCACUCCAGGUCCUGCUAGUCAUCAUUCAAAGGUCAGUCCAUACCAGCAGCCACAUACCAGAGAGUUAUGGAACCAACAUGAUGAUCAAACUAAUAUAUGCAAGUAAUACUAACUCACACCUGUCCUUACAUAAGAUUGUAAAAUCUUUGUGAUCCAAUAAAACCAUUUGCUCAAAGAAAAAAAAGUAUGGGAAACAUGUCCAUUUUUCUUGAGAGUAUUUAACAUUGUAC
rnacentral:lncRNA from 10 species